AGACUUAACUACACUGUCCCCAAUGUAAAUUCAGUCGGAGUUAUGUGACUAACUAAAGCAUAAGGACUCAAUGUAACAAGUUAGAACGAUAUACCAGACCGGAUUAGAAGUCGAUCGAUGUGAUAGUGUUUUCAUUUGUCGCGGCAGCUGAUGCUCUGUCGAUCAAUGUCGGCAGUGUUUCGUCGGCUGAUACUCACGGCAAUCGUCUACUCAGAUCUUUUUAUUUUGGUUUUUUUAUGACCUGCAAUAAUUUAAAAACUAACAUAAGUACAAAACUAAUAAAAACCAAUUAGCUAUUACCUAAUAGUGGGUUGCCUCC
rnacentral:lncRNA from 1 species